rnacentral:lncRNA from 1 species
CCGAAGCUCAGGCUCUUUCUAAAGAGCCUUUGUUUUUCUGCCCAGGUAUUAGGUUGGUGGCGCAACAAUCCCAGGUACAUUUGGUUCACUUUCCUCCGCCCCGGCCCUACCCCCAAGCGCUAUCCUGGGUCUGAAUGUGGGCCUGUGUUCUGGCCCACCAUCCUCAGGCCUGUACAGGGGACCGAAAGAGAAUGGGCCACAGGAAUGCACCCAGAACAGAGCCAAAUUGUUCAAGCUGCGUGAAGAAGAAAGAAAAAACGGGAGGAGGGUGCACGGGGAGGGAGAAGAAGAAAAGCUUUCCUUGUCGGUUCAAUUUCUCCGGAGAUAUUUGGAGGAUAACAUCGUAAUUUUUCAGGAGGGGCUGCAGGGGGAGCAGAAAACGAGAGAGCCGAGUUUUAUCGGCACAGUGGCCCAUACAGAAAGGUGACAUUUGAGAGAACAAUUGCUAGGUUGUUUGGCCACAUUUGCUUCUAUGAAUGAGGCUUAAGAAAAGGUGUCUUUGGAUUGCUACUAAUAGUCAUCUUCAUCAUUCCUGCUCUCUCUCUCUCUCUCUCUCUCUCUCUCUCUCUCUUUCUCAGUUCCCUUAUGAAAUAAGGGCACACAGGUAAUAAACAAAGCACUAUAAAAGAUCAGAUUGAGGUAUUCUGUGGGCUCAUUCAAUGUCUGGAGCAAGCUUUCUGCACUCCACUGCCGGUGCUUUCUGGCUUCAAAAGCAGCUUCGAGACUGAGGAAUAGUAGACAGGAUUAGAAUAAGGCCCGGGAGUUCUACAACUCUGCUGAAUUCAAAAGGACCAUGAUCUUGGUCAGCUAAACCACACCCGAUGGCCAAGGGGCAGAGGAAAAGAUGGCAGAGUAGAGACUCUUGGACUUACUCAUUUGGAUUUUGGAGUUUUACCUGACUUGGUCAAGCCUCAUGCCAGAUCCAGAUUGUGCCUGCUUCCCUUUCACCUUCCAUCAUGAUUGUAAGUUUCCUGAGGCCUCCCCAGCCAGGAUUCCUGUACAGCCUGUGGAACCAUGAGCCAGGCUGAGGAGGAAGAGGAAGAGGAGGGGUUGGUCUUGCUGUCUCAAGAGUAGCAGAAGCAGAAGAAAAUCCAAGUUGGUCAAAGGAAGAGGAGGAUCAAUGGCCUUUUUUCCUCCCCCCAACCUUUUUUUUUUUUUUUUUUUUUAAACAAAGAAGCAAAGUGAGAACAUUAAGCCCGAAAGAGAACUGUGUUCAUUGCAGGACUUUUUGAGGUCUGGUUAAGCCAUUUAUAUAAAGAAAUUACACAGUUCCUCUUUGGUAACCUCAAUCCUGAAAGUUAGUGUGACAGGCCUACAGCUUUUUGUUCUCUUCAUCACUCCAGAAGUUGCAGACUGCGCUCAGCAAGACCUCACAACAUGGAGGAAAAUUAAAGAGAUAAGUGGUCCAUGGAGUAUCCCCUUACCCCACCAUAAAUUGGCAUAAUUUUGUGCACAAUCCAGGGAGAAGAAAAAGAAGACCAGAAGCUUGCAAACCAUUCGAGAGAAGGAAGGGAGCUUUGUCAUGUUGCCAUCUGAGAUUAUGCCUCCAAAUCCUACAGAAGUAUAACAACCAUAGAACAGACAAACACCAACAGCAUCAACAACAGAGAAACUCAGUCCAGGAGGAUAUGAAACCCUUUGUAAUAAAGAAAGCAACAUCCAUG